UUUACAUCGGUUGAGGAAGAGAACGAAACAUUCUUUAUAAUAAAAGUGUGAAAAGUUCUCCCGAACAGACACAUUUUUAAAAACCUUGAGUAAGGUCGAAAGGUAAAGCCUAAAAAUAGCACGUAGUGAGCUUGAGUCGCUACACCUUCCAUGAGGAACAGCUGAGCUAGAUGAUGAGACGAGACGAUGAGCUCAACCUUAAUGCUUCCACUAAUUGAAGAAGGGAAAGAAAAAGGUAAUACCAUCCAAUGGAAGUCUUGACUAAACCUCCAUACAUGUGAAAAAGAGCUCUGUAAGUUCUAAUGUAAAUUUGCAGCACAACAAUACUAAAAAGAACUAAGCUCAUGUUAAUGAGAUAUAUUAUUAUGAAUGAUAUAGACAAUGAAGCAAAUACUACUACUGUUCAUUGAUAUCUAAAUUUUACACCUGAAUAAUGUUUGAUCCAGAAACAAAUAUAUUCAAAAGAAUGGAGGUGUUAACAUAGUUCGACUUCAAAAGACGAGAAAAUAAAAGGCAAAGGCAAAUCAUUUCACGACCGACGAAUCUUUUUAUACGAAAA